UGAGGUGUAGCUCAAUGGUAGAGUGCUUGCGUAGCCUGUAAGAGGGCCUGAGUUCAAUCCCCAGCACCAAAA
rfam:Fukomys damarensis contig112776, whole genome shotgun sequence.